rnacentral:lncRNA from 1 species
CUCCCUGCCAGUCCAUGGCUCCUUAGGCAGCCUGGUUUCUUUGCCAGGAUCUUGGAGUUGCCCUUAUCCUCUCGUUAUCAGUGUCUGCACCCAUUGUGGAUGCUACUAUUUUUGUAAACGACUGCCAGUGUGACCUGCUCAAGGCCAGUGGCUUUGUGCUGACUGCUGGCCGCUGGAAGACAUACUACGGGAAGUCUUUGUGCAGGCUGAACGGGGAUGCAGCUGGAAGCUGAGUGCACUAGAAGAGACAGUAAGGCCCCACAAAUGUGAGUAGCCACGCUUUCUGCGUUCAUCCCCC